CGCCUAUGCAUAAGGACAGGGCACGAUCGCAGAGGGACGGCUCCGUCGAUCUGCCUCCAGGGGCGUACAUGGGAGGGGCUGCGUCGAGCCGCCGUGUCCAUCUCGCCGCCCAGCGCCUCAUCCCCUCCGGCCGCCCAGAUCCCCUCGCCAUCUUGCAGGUCCAGCCCAACCACGACACGGCCGAUGUCAAGCGGGCCUCGCUGUUAUGGCCAUCUUCGUGCCGUUGGGUCCUCCGCGCCGCCGAUGCCUAGGCCGACCCAACGUGCGCCGCCCGCACCCCGCGCUCGACGGCCGGGGGCUCUGCCGCCCAUGAUAGUGAGCACGCUCCAGCCUGGCUCACCAUGCGCCAUCUUCCCUGACGGCUGAGGGUGGCCACCCCAUGACCUACCUGGCGGACGAGUUUGGGACGGGUCCAAGGUUCUUCGCCGAAGUCAAUGGCUUCACGAGCCCAACGACCAGAAGCAGGCAUCCAUCGAGGAAGGGCUCGAGCCGAGAGCGCUGCCUCCGUCGGUCUCUGGCUCCCUAGCCGGUUUCCGCUAUCCGGUGUCACUAUCUGAUCCUCGCAGGCCCUCUUCCCCUCCUCCGUUCCUUAACAAAAACAUUGUUGGUUAGUAAGUCUGCCGCGUGUACACGAGUACGAGCAAUGGAUGUUUGUGAAGGCUAUGAGAUACUGGAAAUCAAGGAGCUAAUUGUUUGGGUCACUUGACUGAAUUGUAACUGCACCAUUUGAGGCGAUUUUGCCCUGGUUUUGCUGGGUGGUGAGGUGGUUUAUGGGAGUUGCUGAGUUGGUGGAAGAUUGGGGCAUUUGCAUAUGGUUGGUACUGAGGAGGACUGUGCUGCUGGAGUGGGAAGCAGGAGAGCAACCGUUGGGAUCUUGGAUUUUUUUCCCCGAGCAGAAUGUGGACUUACUACCUUCAUAUUGAAGAUUCAGCAGUUGGAAGCUGAUGUAACAUGUCAGAAGUUCUCCAUUCCUGCAUAAAUGGACUACAUCAUCAACCUGCACUGUUAAGGUCAUGCUUAAUUGCUUAUAGACGAUCUAGGUUCAGAUUGUGAAGUAGGAACACUCGAAUUGUGAAUUUACUUAAAACAAUACCAUGUAUUCUUGACACUUUCUCUGAUUCUUCACGUGAAGUUGAAGAAAAGGAAAGAGAACACUUAUUCAUUCAGGAAAAACUGGAUAUGGAGCUGCAAGAUCUAAGGGGGUGUUUGGUUCAGAAGUCCUCAGACUUUUUCUAGUCCCAGGACUAAUCAAAAAAGACUCUCUAGUAGAGUCUUUUUCUAGUUCCUGUAGAAAAAGUCCCUCCUGUUUGGUUUCUAGAGACUUUUUGGGGACUUUUUCUAGUCUCUGGGACUAAAAAGUCUCUGAACCAAACACCCCCUAAAUGAAGGACUUCGGGAUGGUACUGUAAUUGUUCAUAUGCGAAUUUACAACUUGUCUGGCUAGACCUAUGUUCUGAAUAAUCUUCAUUCCUC